rnacentral:rRNA from 1 species
CCUUAGAGUUUGAUCCUGGCUCAGGAUGAACGCUGGCGGCGUGCCUAACACAUGCAAGUCGAACGGACUUAUAUUGAAACCUAGUGAUUUAUGAGUUAGUGGCGGACGGGUGAGUAACGCGUGGAAAACCUGCCGUAUACCGGGGGAUAACACUUAGAAAUAGGUGCUAAUACCGCAUAAGCGCACAGCUUCGCAUGAAGCAGUGUGAAAAACUCCGGUGGUAUACGAUGGUUCCGCGUCUGAUUAGCUAGUUGGCGGGGUAACGGCCCACCAAGGCAGCGAUCAGUAGCCGGUCUGAGAGGGUGAACGGCCACAUUGGGACUGAGACACGGCCCAAACUCCUACGGGAGGCAGCAGUGGGGAAUAUUGCACAAUGGGGGAAACCCUGAUGCAGCGACGCCGCGUGAGUGAAGAAGUAUUUCGGUACGUAAAGCUCUAUCAGCAGGGAAGAAAAGGAACUAAAGUUCCCAUGACGGUACCUGACUAAGAAGCCCCGGCUAACUACGUGCCAGCAGCCGCGGUAAUACGUAGGGGGCAAGCGUUAUCCGGAUUUAUUGGGUUUAAAGGGAGCGUAGAUGGGUUGUUAAGUCAGUUGUGAAAGUUUGCGGCUCAACCGUAAAAUUGCAAUUGAUACUGGCAGCCUUGAGUACAGUUGAGGUAGGCGGAAUUCGUGGUGUAGCGGUGAAAUGCUUAGAUAUCACGAAGAACUCCGAUUGCGAAGGCAGCCUACUAAACUGCCACUGACAUUGAUGCUCGAAAGUGUGGGUAUCAAACAGGAUUAGAUACCCUGGUAGUCCACACGGUAAACGAUGAAUACUCGCUGUUUGCGAUAUACAGCAAGCGGCCAAGCGAAAGCGUUAAGUAUUCCACCUGGGGAGUACGCCGGCAACGGUGAAACUCAAAGGAAUUGACGGGGGCCCGCACAAGCGGAGGAACAUGUGGUUUAAUUCGAUGAUACGCGAGGAACCUUACCCGGGCUUGAAUUGCACUCGGAUAUAGCGGAAACGUUAUAGCUAGCAAUAGCGAGUGUGAAGGUGCUGCAUGGUUGUCGUCAGCUCGUGCCGUGAGGUGUCGGCUUAAGUGCCAUAACGAGCGCAACCCUUGUCUAUAGUUACUAACAGGUCAUGCUGAGGACUCUAUGGAGACUGCCAUCGUAAGAUGUGAGGAAGGUGGGGAUGACGUCAAAUCAGCACGGCCCUUACGUCCGGGGCCACACACGUGUUACAAUGGGGGGUACAGAGGGCCGCUACCACGCAAGUGGAUGCCAAUCCCGAAAGCCUCUCUCAGUUCGGACUGGAGUCUGCAACCCGACUCCACGAAGCUGGAUUCGCUAGUAAUCGCGCAUCAGCCAUGGCGCGGUGAAUACGUUCCCGGGCCUUGCACUCACCGCCCGUCAAG